GAAAGGAUCUAGGGAGGAAGGGAGGCCAUGUCUGAGGUAGCAGAACAGGCCUCUGAACUCAGUGACCAGAAAAAGGGCUUAUUUCAUUGGCUACAGACACUGUGCACGAGGGAAAAGGCAAGGCAAGAAAUGCAGUACAAGCUUAAGGCUAUUUGAUGAAAACAAAUAGGAUCUUUUUGGUGUUAUUACUCAGUGAAAAAGCUAAGGGAAACUGGCCAUUCCUUGGUUGCUGCAAUCAUGCACAUUUGGCUCCCUAUUUACAGUAGGAAGCAAACCAAACAAAUCACCUCAAAGACAGACUCCACUGCAUGUUAAUCUAAACAUGCUUUCUGUUUGCACAGGAAGAAUGUUAUUUCUGACAUAUUUUGGAAACCAGUUUUGACAGUUUCCAACAUUUCGACCAUAAUAAAUGGUCUUUGUCAGGUUACUCUCAUGGCACUAGCCCCCACUGAUGCCCUUAGCAUGGGUGAGUCUGCUUGCACAGCAGUGUGCCAAUGCUGGGCUUACCACUGUGCUUCUGCUCGCUGGCAUUGGAGUUGCGUUAGGCUUGGGCAGUAUCCAGAUUUUCAGAUCAUCAUACCAUCCUUCUCUCAUCCCGGGAUUUAUGGUAUUACCGGAAUAGCAUACAAAGGGGUGCUAAAAACACAAAAGCCCACUGGGGCUAUAUUACCAGAAUGCUAACAAAAUUAGCACAAACUAAUAGCGACGUCACAUAGAUGCUGUUGGCUAAAUGCUAACGAGCUAAAACUAAUUGCAAAGAUGGGCAAAUCCAGCUCAUGAAGUUAUACAAGCUUAGCCAGUAGCUACCGAAAUGUAUUUUUCUUUGCGUGUGGACAUUUAUGAGCGCAAUUGUGCCAAUGAACAAAGUUGUGAGGCAUGCUUUUCUGAAGGAAGAGCAGCAUGUUUACACAGAGCAGAACGGAGCGGACAAAAAAAUGGCAGCUGUACAGAACUCAUCCAGAACUCAUCAAGCACUCUUUGACUUCUAGCAGAAAGCCUUUCUAAGAUAUCUAGCCUAGGAACGGUGGUUAACUGCCUUGUUCAGGGCCAAACCACAGAUUUUCACCUUAUCAGCCCGGGGGAUCCAAUCUUGCAACCUUACAGUUAACUAGUCCAACGCGCUAACCCACCCGCCUGUCAUUGCACUCCAUGAGGAGCCUGCUUGUUACGCAAAUGCAGAAGCCAAGGUAAGUUGCUAGCUAGCAUUAAACUUAUCUUAUAAAAAACAAUCAAUCAAUCAUAAUCACUAGUUAUAACUACACAUGGUUGAUGUUACUCGUUUAUCUAGCGUGUCCUGCUUUGCAUAUAAUCGAUGCAACGCUGGGGGAUGAUUUAACAAAAGCACAUUUGCGAAAAAAGCACAAUCGUUGGACUGUACCUAACCAUAAACACCAAUGCCUUUCUUAAAAUCAAUACACAGAAGUAUAUAUUUUAAAACCUGCAUAUUUAGCUAAAAGAUAUCCAGGUUAGCAGGCAAUAUUAACCAGGUGAAAUUGUGUCACUUCUCUUGCGUUCAUUGCACGCAGAGUCAGGGUAUAUGCAACAGUUUGGGCAGCAUGGCUCAUUGCGAACUAAUUUGCCUGAAUUUUACAUAAUUAUGACAUUGAAGGUUGUGCAAUGGAACAGGAAUAUUUAGACUUAGGGAUGCCACCCGUUAGAUAAAAUACUGAACGGUUCCGUAUUUCACUGAAAUAAUAAACGUUUUGUUUUCGAAAUGAUAGUUUCCGGAUUCAACCAUAUUAAUUACCAUAGACUCGUAUUUCUGUGUGUUAUUAUGUUAUAAUUAAGUCUAUGAUCUGAUAGAGCAGUCUGACUGAGCGAUGGUAGGCAGCAGCAGGCUCGUAAGCAUUCAUUCAAACAGCACUUUCGUGCGUUUUGCCAGCAGCUCUUUGCAAGCACAGUGCUGUUUAUGACUUCAAGCCUAUCAGCCUAAUGGCUGGUGUAACCAAUGUGAAAUGGCUAGCUAGUUAGCUGGGUGUGCGCUAAUAGCGUUUCAAACGUCACUCGUUCUGAGACUUGGAAUAGUUAUUCCCUUUGCUCGACAAGCCUUUUGUGGAGCGAUGGGUAACGCUGCUUCGAGUGUGGCUAUUUUCGAUGUGUUCCUGGUUCGAGCCCAGGUAGGGGCGAGGAGAGGCACGGAAGCUAUACUGUUACACUGGCAAUACUAUAGUGCCUAUAAGAACAUCCAAUAGUCAAAGGUAUAUGAAAUACAAAUGGUAUAGAGAGAGUCCUACAAAUACUAUAUUAACUACAACCUAAAACCUCUUACCUUGGAAUAUUGAAGUCUCAUGUUAAAAGGAACCACCAACUUUCAUAUGUUCUCAUGUUCUGAGCAAGGAACUCAAACGUUAGCUAUUUUACAUGGCACAUAUUGCACUUUUACUUCUCCAACAGUUUGUUUUUGCAUUAUUUAAACCAAAUUGAACAUGUUUCAUUAUUUAUUUGAGGCUAAAUUGAUUUUUAUUGAUGUAUUAUAUUAAGUUAAAAUAAGUGUUGUAAUUGUCAUUAUUACAAAUAAAUAAAUAAAAAUCGUCCGAUUUAAUCGGUAUCAGCUUUUUUGGUCCUCCAAUAAUCGGUAUCGGUGUUGAAAAAUCAUAACCGAUCGACCUCUAGUCUCAGUUGUUUAAUCUUAUGUUCAUACAAAUAUGUCCACAUGUUAAGUUUGCUGAAAAUAAAUGCAGUUGACAGCGAGGACGUUUCUUUUUCUGCUGAGUUUCAAAUUCAGCCCUCUUUCUCCCAUUGUGCUAUUUACAAACACACACAUGGCUGGUUCAACUCUUCUGGGGAAUGACGCUAAGCUUCAUACUGUAAAAUACUUUGACAGGUGAAAUGAAGAACGCAAUUUGCUUUAUGUUUUAACGUAUUGCCCAAGUUGACUGCAGUUAUUAAUUUUAACGUAGCUCCACAUAAUCAAAUUUAUUUCAACUUUUUUUUCUUUUGAUGGUAUAAUAUCCUGGUGAUUUUUCCAAAUCCCCUGGUGUACGGUAUAUCCCUUACACCGCCAAAGCCUAUCUGGUGACAGUACUCUUAGUCAGCUGCACACCAGGCGGUACCUAUACAAUAGGGUUCACUUAAAUGAUCUCCUUUUCCUUGUCUCCUAAUAGACGGUAGAGAGUAGCCUACCAGGUGGAGUAAAUAAGCACUCUCUCCUUGACGUGCAUGGAGAGGCUUCACUGCCUUGCCAUUGUCCUGCUAGACUAUAGUCUAACCUCUGUUCUCCACAAAAAGACUAAUCACAGACUUUAAAUCUAUGUGAGUUGAAUCUGUUUUAGAAUCAUGCACCUCAUUGUGUGGAACAUUGCAACCGUUUCGCCCUUUCCCCUCCUUAUCUGAGAAUAUGUAUAGCGCUCAUUCACCAAGGAUAUCAUCCAUGUUCUGCCAUCGAAAUGACUAUUUCCCAUUUUGGAAUGUUCUUAUCCCCUCUCCUGUCUUUAGUGAGUGUAAUCCAUUUGCCAAGUAAAUGCAAUAUGGUAUUUAGCUAGCAGCAAGGCAGACGGUUGAAACCUUUAGAUGCAACGUGGGAAGUUUGAAAGGCUCUUUUGGAGAUGUAACCCCCCCUCCCCCGUGCAGACUGUAAAGGGGUUUUCUCUUCUAUAGCACACAGUGUUCUGUUGGAAACCUCUGAACUGGCUGAUAUUCUCACCUGGCUGACAUCAUCCAUUCUUAGCCUGUUAGGAACACAGUAGUGUUGAGCAACGAUACACCUGAUACUCACCCUUCAAUUCUCAGUAUUUGCUGUUAUGAAAUGGCAUGCUGAGAUGUUUUCUCUGGCGAGGCCUGUCCAGUUUAAAUGAAGUAUGGGAAGCAGAUGUUAGUACCUUGUUGGCUGCUAAAGUUAAGAAGUCCUCCCAUGUCUUUUUCUGUUAUGGUUUUUGAACUGCCUAAUUUGGUCUUCAACCACUGUCCAAUCCAAUAAUGUCCUAGCACCUGGUUAUUUGGCUAGAAAGUUGUGGAUAAUCUUUAUGUAAUAACCCUCAUGUUUGACUUCAAGUGAUCCACUCCCCUCCCGAUCUAGGGUAAAUCCAAACAGCUUGAUGAACCGCCCAGUAUUUUCCAAAGGAAAGAUCUCCAUCCCAAAAGCGUGGUACUCUGGAAUAAUAUUGUGUAAGUAAAUGUUUGUCUGUCAGUUCAUUUCUAGUCAGGUUUCAGUUCUUCUCCUGCGCUAAACAUAACUCCAGACUCCGGAGGUCACCCAUCAACUUGUGCUAAUGCAGGAGAAAGAGCUUAAACCCCUCUCUCUGUUCUCAAUGACUCUGCCUUGGCUGUCCAGGCCCACUGCUGCGUGUCAUCAUUAAGCCCAGUAUGACGUCUCUGUUUGUUCUGCCACAGGUGUCCACAGUCUCUGCACCUUCUUCUUCUGAAAUGUGCCACAAGUUCCGCCCUGUCUACUUUAAUUGGCUAUAUUCUGGGACAUAAUGAACAGCAGGAAGUGGUGGAGCUGUGUCUGGGCGAGGUAGACAGAUGGAGAGAGAGGCGAUUAGGUCAGAGUUUUGAUGUGUCUUAGGUGCCAGCCGGAUGGUUAACACCAUUAGGGAUCCAUUAGGGAUGGGAGUCGGAGAGGGUGGUGAUGGUGGUACUGAAGGCUGCUGGGUGCUGGGCUGUAUUCAGAAGCACCACUGUACAUGUGUGUUUCAGCCUUCAUGCAUAUAACAAUUAUAGGACCGCAAAAGGCACCAUGUUGUCUAUCUUUCAGUCAACUCAUUAGGCUUAAGUCGUACUGAAUCUAAAUGUUUAAUGUCUGCUAUCGAGGCCCUGAGUCAUGCUGGAGGAUUUGUCCCAUUCUGGGUGGAUUUUCUGUCUGAUCUCUGAUGCGACUGACCUCAUCUGUUUCUUUAGUAAAAUGCCAGUUGUUGAGCAAUAUGCUCUUCGGUGACUCAAUACCACCUUUCUGUGAUGGCCCACCUGACACCCAAACACACAGUACCCCUGUACCCCUCACCCAUACAGGUGAGCAGCACCCCAGGGUCGUGUGUUAAUGUUGUCACGGUACCAAUAUCACGAUACCAGAUUUUCCAUGACAAAAAGGAAAACCCAAAGCAGACUAAAGUCUAUGGUCCUCUAAUAACCUACUUCAGGUUCAGUAUAGUGUGCUACAGCUUGGAAAUAAACAUGGGAUUCUAUGUGACAUCAUCAGGCUGUUUGUCUCCAACAUUAGGACUGUUUUAUUUCUGAGUACCGCCGUACUGGCAUUGUGACAACCCUAGUGUCUGUGUGUGUCCUCAGGGGGCCCUGUGUGUCUCCCGUGGAUCCUGUACACGUGAGUGUGUGUCCUCAGGGGGCCCUGUGUGUCUCCUGUGGAUCCUGUACACGUGAGUGUGUGUGUGUCCUCAGGGGGCCCUGUGUGUCUCCCGUGGAUCCUGUACACGUGAGUGUGUGUGUCCUCAGGGGGCCCUGUGUGUCUCCCGUGGAUCCUGUACACGUGAGUGUAUGUGAUCACGGGGCCUCUGCUUGGCUUGCGUCCCCUGGGCUUCGCACGUCACAUCCUCAGGAUAGAAAAUAGAUUUGGUUUCACUGGAGACCGGCUGCUAGGGUUGCGUCAAUCAGGAAAGUGCAUUGUCGCCAUGACAACGACCACUCAUCCACCCCAUGCUGGAUCUGAGUCUCUCUCCUCUGUUUUGAAACCGUUCAUAUCUGUCCCUUUAUCCUUCUUCCUCACUUGUUGCUCACCAGCCGUCCACCGUUCUGUCUGUUAUACGUGUUGCCAUGUGGAUCAGCCUCCUCCUUUAUUCCUGUAUGAUAUGUUAGUCAUUCACCUGGCUCUUUCUUCUGGACUCUUCUCUUGUUUUCUCUUAUAAACACCGUACCUUUGGUCCUGCCAUUUUAACUUCUGCUCCUGUGAGCUUCUCCCCUCUCAACCUCUGUACCACACCACUGAGUGGUGAAAGGGCUUUUAGUGCUGCCGUCAUUAUUGAGCCUGGCUAGCAGUGUAAUAGUAAUUACACCCCUGAGUGUAUGAUUAGUGAAACAGCCCCGUGGUAAUCAAAAAGAUGUGUCCAGUCAUACAGUGGGGAGAAAACACCGGCCAGUUUGACUGUUCCAGUACCCCUCCCUCCCUCCCCCUACACCACCAAGGUGUUAACGUAGGCAGAAUGUAUUUUAACUCUUGGAUAAGAAUAGUUCCUCUGCCAAGGCCAGAGUGAUGGGCUGGGUUACAUCACACUGAGAUCAGUGUUUCCCCUACAUCGUUUCCCCCCCUAGGCAGGGUGCAAAUUUCCCCCAAAGCUACACCUAAGGCCACAAACAAACUCCACAACAUUAAUUUCAAACUAAUUUGGUUUUAUGUUUGGGGGAAGAGAGAGGGGAAACACCUAUGUAAUUGUAGGAGAAGUGCUGUGUUGAAGCCUGCUGAUUUGUCCCAUUUCUGGACAUGUAGCCUGUGUUGCGCUGUCACUACUACUGACAGACAGUAUGAAUCAAUCUCAGAUAUCUAAGGUGGAGGCAAAAGGAGUGUCAGGCAGGACAGCUGGAAGGCAAACAUCAAGCCAGUUGAACUGUACUGACUGGAUUCAGUCUUCCACUGGCCUCUCUGUCUGUCUGUCUAUUCAGUCUUCCACUGGCCUCUCUGUCUGUCUGUCUAUUCAGUCUUCCACUGGCCUCUCUGUCUGUCUGUCUAUUCAGUCUUCAACUGGCCUCUCUGUCUGUCUAUUCAGUCUUCCACUGGCCUCUCUGUCUGUCUAUUCAGUCUUCCACUGGCCUCUCUGUCUGUCUGUCUAUUCAGUCUUCCACUGGCCUCUCUGUCUGUCUGUCUGUCCAGUCUUCCACUGGCCUCUCUGUCUGUCUGUCUGUCUAGUCUUCCACUGGCCUCUCUGUCUGUCUGUCUGUCCAGUCUUCCACUGGCCUCUCUGUCUGUCUGUCUGUCCAGUCUUCCACUGGCCUCUCUGUCUGUCUGUCUGUCCAGUCUUCCACUGUUUUCUCCGUCUGUCUGUCCAGUCUUCCACUGGCCUCUCUGUAUUUGUCUUUCUGUUGAGUCUCCUCUCAGCCUCCUAGGGAGAGCCUGGGUCUUAUUAACAGGCAGUGGUCUGUGGCCUUUGCCCCCCACCUGCUGUCACCUGCAGUUGUUAUGACAAUGUGGUUAAAACGGACUAAAACUGUUAGCAGGUCAUAGUUGGGCCACCGUCACUUACAGCUCGAUGACCUAUGGCUUUAAAGAUUUUACAGACUAGCCACGCUACCUUUUCUGCUAGAUGCGAUUAGAUAAGCCUAAUAGAAAAAGCUCAGGAUUGCCCUAGUCUGUUUUGCCAGCUGUGGAGAACUGUAAGCCAGGGGAGCGAUGCUAGGCUGGCCCUUCAAUCCCUCACUCAUCAGUUAUAUAGAUUAUCUUAAUCCUAUCAUGGAACUGUAACAGCAAUGUUUGUGAUAGCUGUAUUGUUACCGUAAUGUUUGUGAUAGCUGUACUGUUACCGUAAUGUUUGUGAUAGCUGUACUGUUACCGUAAUGUUUGUGAUAGCGGUACUGUUACCGUAAUGUUUGUGAUAGCGGUACUGUUACCGUAAUGUUUGUGAUAGCUGUACUGUUACCGUAAUGUUUGUGAUAGCUGUACUGUUACCGUAAUGUUUGUGAUAGCUGUACUGUUACCGUAAUGUUUGUGAUAGCUGUACUGUUACCGUAAUGUUUGUGAUAGCUGUACUGUUACCGUAAUGUUUGUGAUAGCUGUACUGUUACCGUAAUGUUUGUGAUAGCUGUACUGUAACAGUAAAACAAAUUGUCAGACUUCAGCCACCCAAGUCUUCGACUGUUCUCUCUUCUACCGGAGCACCAAGUCUGGGAACAAAAGGCUCCUGAACAGCUUCUACACCAAAGCCAUAAAACUGCUUAACAGUUAAUCAAAUGGCUGCCCGGACUAUUUACAUUGUUUUGUUGCACAUACAUUCUUGCACUGGCUGUAUGUACGCUCACUGGACUCUACCCACACACUCACACAUACUAGACUGGCACACACACAUUCAGUACCAGUCAAAAGUUUGGACACAGCUACUCAUUCCAGGGUUUUUCUUUAUUUUUACUAUUUUCUACCUUGUAAAAUAAUAGUGAAGACAUCAAAACUAUGUGCAAAGCUGUCAUCAAGGCAAAGGGUGGCUACUUUGAAAAUAUAAAAUAUUUGGAUUUGUUUAACACAUGAUUCCAUAUGUUAUUUCAUAGUUUUGAUGUCUUCACUAUUAUUCUACAAUGUAGAAAAUAGUCAAAUAAAGAAAAACCCUGGAAUGAGUAGCUGUCCAAACUUUUGACUGGUAGUGUAUUUGUGAAUAGGCUAACUGACAUGAUAAAUAGUUGUUCCCAGACCACCACAAGAACCCAAUGCCGUAUUUGAGCUUUGUUUAGUUCCUCCUUACCAACAUACUCCUGACAGCAGAGGGGGUUUUAACCCUUUCAUGCGUGAGUUCCAAAUAUCUCUAACGGUCGCCCCAGCGUGAGUUUUUUAUGCACGUGAUGUUAGAAUGUUCUCUCCAUUCCAGAAUGUGAUUGAUACGUAACAGUACAUUUGAUCCGCGCUGCCCUCAAACUAAAGCACGCAGCCUGUUUAUAUUUAUAGGUUGUUUUAACUUCAAUUUCAAAUGAUUUUCAAACAAGUUUUAUUUUCUAAAAACAGUUUGAAUUUAGGUGUGUUCCGCCUCCUCAUUCAUUCACAUAAAAAUAGUCAUUUUUACUUUUGCGGAUAAUUACAUUUUUGGGACAUUUCUGACACGGACAAAAUUCCCCAAGCACUACCCAAUUGUUUGUGCAGUUCACGUCUGCAGACAUUUGCUCAUCUCCCGUCAGAACAGGAUCUGCACACGUGUUCACAUUUUCUAUUCCACAUUUCUAUUGUAGCGUACUGUAUGUAUGGAGCAUAAUAUAUUUGUGUAUAUUCUUUAUCACCGCGGACACGUGAGCUACCAUGGCCUUAUGACUCUCAAGUGGUGCAGCGGUCAAAGGCACAGCACAUCAGUACUAGAGGCGUCACUACAGACUCCCUGGUUCAAAUCCAGGCUGCGUUUCCAUCAAA